UACGGGGGGAGCAAGCGUUGUUCGGAUUUACGGGGCGUAAAGGGCGCGUAGGCGGCCUCUGCAAGUCGACUGUGAAAUCUCCGGGCUUAACCCGGAACGGUCAGCCGAUACUGCAGGGCUAGAGUGCAGAAGGGGCAACUGGAAUUCUCGGUGUAGCGGUGAAAUGCGUAGAUAUCGGGAGGAACACCAGUGGCGAAGGCGACUACCUGGCCUGUUCUUGACGCUGAGACGCGAAAGCGUGGGGAGCGAACCGG
rnacentral:rRNA from 1 species